rnacentral:rRNA from 1 species
UGCUUGGGAAUUUGCCUUGAGGUGGGGGACAACAGUUGGAAACGACUGCUAAUACCGCAUAUUGUCUACGGACUAAAGGGGGCUUCGGCUCUCGCCUUUAGAGAAGCCCAAGUGGGAUUAGGUAGUUGGUAGGGUAAAAGCCUACCAAGCCGACGAUCCCUAGCUGGUCUGAGAGGAUGAUCAGCCACACUGGAACUGAGACACGGUCCAGACUCCUACGGGAGGCAGCAGUGGGGAAUAUUGCACAAUGGGGGAAACCCUGAUGCAGCCAUGCCGCGUGUGUGAAGAAGGCCUGGUUGU